rnacentral:rRNA from 1 species
AUUGAACGCUGGCGGCAGGCCUAACACAUGCAAGUCGAACGGUAACAGGAAGAAGCUUGCUUCUUUGCUGACGAGUGGCGGACGGGUGAGUAAUGUCUGGGAAACUGCCUGAUGGAGGGGGAUAACUACUGGAAACGGUAGCUAAUACCGCAUAACGUCGCAAGACCAAAGAGGGGGACCUUCGGGCCUCUUGCCAUCGGAUGUGCCCAGAUGGGAUUAGCUAGUAGGUGGGGUAACAGCUCACCUAGGCGACGAUCCCUAGCUGGUCUGAGAGGAUGACCAGCCACACUGGAACUGAGACACGGUCCAGACUCCUACGGGAGGCAGCAGUGGGGAAUAUUGCACAAUGGGCGCAAGCCUGAUGCAGCCAUGCCGCGUGUAUGAAGAAGGCCUUCGGGUUGUAAAGUACUUUCAGCGGGGAGGAAGGGAGUAAAGUUAAUACCUUUGCUCAUUGACGUUACCCGCAGAAGAAGCACCGGCUAACUCCGUGCCAGCAGCCGCGGUAAUACGGAGGGUGCAAGCGUUAAUCGGAAUUACUGGGCGUAAAGCGCACGCAGGCGGUUUGUUAAGUCAGAUGUGAAAUCCCCGGGCUCAACCUGGGAACUGCAUCUGAUACUGGCAAGCUUGAGUCUCGUAGAGGGGGGUAGAAUUCCAGGUGUAGCGGUGAAAUGCGUAGAGAUCUGGAGGAAUACCGGUGGCGAAGGCGGCCCCCUGGACGAAGACUG